UUAGUUUAAAACAGUCACCUUACACUUUUAGUUGUCCUCUCUAAAUUAGAUGUAAGUUUUUUUUAAAUGAUUAGUGUCAAUUAAGGGCUAUUGUUAUUUUGGUUUAUAAGGGGAUAGGAGUUCAACUUUAAAAAUUGCACAGGAUCAUUCUAAGAAGAGUGAGAGGGCUAUCUCCUCUAUGCAUUUUCUUGACCUGUAUCUGAUCUUGAAAAACUCUGUUCAGGAAAGUCUGAACCAAAUACGAAUUGGAAUAUUAGAGAGGAUUAACUAUUUUGGUGGAACCCCAUAUGAUUCAUUCCCUGUGGAAAGUGAUGAAGUUUGCAGUGUAAGCCAGCCAUCAGUGUACCAAAACCUCCCCUCUCUGGAGUUUACACACAGCAUACCUUCUGCGACAAGUGCUGAUCUAAGUUUGAUCUUCAGUGAUCCUCUCACACACCAUCCCUCAGAGAGCCAGACAGACUCGUCCCCCUGUAACGCCCCCCUUCAACAGGUCUGAUGCUAACCCCCAACACAAAUAAGGAACUCGUUUUAUUUUAAUGGCAUAUGCAGAUUUUGGCUUUUUUUCUCUUGCCAAGAUACUUUUAAACACACUUUGAGGUAUGCAAAACCUUAAAACUAGAAAAUGAAGUACAUUGUCUGAUUAGAUUUUUUCUUAAAGACUAUUUCUCUAAAAGGUAAGUUUGUGAUUUUAACAAUUUUCACUGACACUUGGCAGAUUUGUGUGUAAUUCUCUCACAAAGGAACUGUAAGAUACACUUUUUAUAUAUAAUAUAUAUAUAAUAUAAUAUAUACUAUAAUAUAUAUGCCUAUAGUUUUGUGGUAACGUUCACGGGUUAGAGUUAGGCUAGCA